CAGUAAUGGCGAAUGAACAGGGAUAAGCUCAGCUUGGAAAUUGGGCCCUCUGGGCUUGAAUUGUAGUCUUUCGAUGGCAUUGCCAGCGGAGGCGCAGAUGUAAGCCUCUUGGAAAAGAGCAUCAAUGAGGGUGAGAGUCCCGUUUGUCAUCUGCAGUCCUCUGUUUACGGUGUGCUUUCUAAGAGUCACGUUCCUUGGGACUGGAGCGCAAAUUGGGUGGUAAAUUUCAUCUAAAGCUAAAUAUUGGUUCGAGACCGAUAGCAAACAAGUACCAUGAGGGAAAGGUGAAAAGGACUUUGAAAAGAGAGUUAAAAGUGCCUGAAAUUGCUGAAAGGGAAGCGAAUGGAACCAGUCUUCUUGGUGAGAUUGUUGUGCGCUAUUGUGAUUGCUUUCUGCUUCAACGCAAGUGUUGCAGUGGGUUUUGAGCAUGACGCGCACUUUGUUUCUCACCUCGUGUGUCAACGUCGGUUCAGAUUUGAGGAAAACUCUAGGGACAUGGGUAAUUGCUCGCGAGUGAUUGAAUGUGCCUGGUAGAACUCAUGUCUAAACUGAUUUCCGCAUGUCUGGUCGCAGUGUUCUCAUUACCUGCGUCUGGGUUCGUGGCUUGUAGCUUCUGUUACUCGUCGCGGGCUCUGGGCCUGGUCGUGAGCAUCUCCCUGACAUUAGUACGAUGACAAAAUGGUUUCAUUCGACCCGUCUUGAAACACGG
rnacentral:rRNA from 1 species